CUCCAGGUUCCCUGAGCAGCUCCCAGUGAGCCUGCAGUAUUUUCCUUAUAUGAUCAGGCCCCGUUGUGGGCAGCGCUGCAUGCCUGGAGCCUGAGAGGAUUAUGAAAUGUGCCUGGCAAAGUGGAGCCCAGGGACCUGGUG
ensembl:scaRNA small Cajal body-specific RNA 17